UUGCUUGCGGCUCAGUUUGUAGAGCAUGAGACUCUUAAUCUCAGAGUCAUGGGUUUGAGCCCCACAUUGGGCAAA